rnacentral:rRNA from 1 species
UCGAGAAUUUUUCACAGUGGGCGCAAGCCUGAUGGAGCGACGCCGCGUGGGGGAUGAAUGGCUUCGGCCCGUAAACCCCUGUCAUUUGCGAUCAAACCUUGCUAUUUAAAAGAUGGCGAGCUGAUAGUAGCGAAAGAGGAAGGGACGGCUAACUCUGUGCCAGCAGCCGCGGUAAUACAGAGGUCCCAAGCGUUGUUCGGAUUCACUGGGCGUAAAGGGUGCGUAGGUGGUGGGGUAAGUCGGAUGUGAAAUCUCGGAGCUCAACUCCGAAAUGGCAUUGGAAACUACCCUGCUAGAGGGUCGGAGGGGGGACUGGAAUUCUCGGUGUAGCAGUGAAAUGCGUAGAUAUCGAGAGGAACACCAGUGGCGAAGGCGAGUCCCUGAACGACUCCUGACACUGAGGCACGAAAGCUAGGGGAGCAAACA